rnacentral:tRNA from 1 species
GCCCGGAUGGCGAAAUCGGCAGACGCAGCGGACUUAAAAUCCGCAGGAGAUAACCCUCCGUGGGGGUUCAAGUCCCCCUCCGGGCACCA